rnacentral:tRNA from 2 species
GAAUAAGAAGCGAACAAUUGCAAUCAGUUUCGACCUGAAAAUUUGGUAAUAUUUUACCCUUAUUCU